rnacentral:lncRNA from 1 species
GGAGAAAAAAUAUGAACUGGUGGACUGUCAUGGUCCCCCUGUGGAGGACCCCUGAUCUAAACAGGAAGAUCCGGCUUCUGUGGAACAGACAUAAUCGAUUCAAGUGGAGGUUUCACCGCCCCGGGCUUGCUUUCUUUUUCCCAAUGAAAACAGACCAGCCUGCCUGAGGCGUGGGUUAGCCGGGCAGCGCAGCAAUCACAGCUUGAUUUCUCCAUGAGUAAACAAGAGUGAGUC